rnacentral:lncRNA from 1 species
ACCUUUGUAACUACAAGCAGAAAAUGAAGAAGGAGAAUGAGAUGAAAAAGGAGACCAGCAGAAGUGGUAACAACCUUCACAAUUUACAACAAAAGAACUUGAAACCAACGACAAUGAUGACUGAGAGGUGAAGGCUUGAGAGUGGUUUGGACAUGACGAUGGAGGCAACAGUGAUGACGACAACAACAACAACAACAAGAGGCUAGGGCUUGAGAGGUUUGGGCACAAAAGAAAGACCGUGUGAGAGGUUUGGGCGUGAGAGCUUGAAUGUGAGCAAAACUGAACACUUGACAUUUAGGGUCAUUUAACAUUGAUUCCCUUAAAAUCGAUAUUAACAAUUUUUAGUUAUUAACA